rnacentral:rRNA from 1 species
GAUGAACGCUGGCGGCGUGCCUAAUACAUGCAAGUCGAGCGAAUGGAUUAAGAGCUUGCUCUUAUGAAGUUAGCGGCGGACGGGUGAGUAACACGUGGGUAACCUGCCCAUAAGACUGGGACAACUCCGGGAAACCGGGGCUAAUACCGGAUAACAUUUUGAACCGCAUGGUUCGAACUUGAAAGGCGGCUUCGGCUGUAACUUAUGGAUGGACCCGGGUCGCAUUAGCUAGUUGGUGAGGUAACGGCUCACCAAGGCAACGAUGCGUAGCCGACCUGAGAGGGUGAUCGGCCACACUGGGACUGAGACACGGCCCAGACUCCUACGGGAGGCAGCAGUAGGGAAUCUUCCGCAAUGGACGAAAGUCUGACGGAGCAACGCCGCGUGAGUGAUGAAGGCUUUCGGGUCGUAAAACUCUGUUGUUAGGGAAGAACAAGUGCUAGUUGAAUAAGCUGGCACCUUGACGGUACCUAACCAGAAAGCCACGGCUAACUACGUGCCAGCCGCCGCGGUAA